AGAGUUUGAUCCUGGCUCAGAUUGAACGCUUUUGGCGUGCCUUACACAUGCAAGUCGAACGGCAGCGCGGGAGCUUGCUCCUGGUGGCGAGUGGCGAACGGGUGAGUAAUAUAUCGGAACGUACCCUAGAGUGGGGGAUAACGCAGCGAAAGUUGCGCUAAUACCGCAUACCAUCUACGGAUGAGGGUGGGGGAUCGCAAGACCUCAUGCUCAUGGAGCGGCCGAUAUCUGAUUAGCUAGUUGGGGGGGUAAAGGCCUACCAAGGCAUCGAUCAGUAGCUGGUCUGAGAGGACGACCAGCCACACUGGAACUGAGACACGGUCCAGACUCCUACGGGAGGCAGCAGUGGGGAAUUUUGGACAAUGGGGGCAACCCUGAUCCAGCAAUGCCGCGUGAGUGAAGAAGGCCUUCGGGUUGUAAAGCUCUUUUGUCAGGGAAGAAACGGUGAGGGCUAAUAUCCUUUGCUAAUGACGGUACCUGAAGAAUAAGCACCGGCUAACUACGUGCCAGCAGCCGCGGUAAUACGUAGGGUGCAAGCGUUAAUCGGAAUUACUGGGCGUAAAGCGUGCGCAGGCGGUUAUGUAAGUCAGAUGUGAAAUCCCCGGGCUCAACCUGGGAAUGGCAUUUGAGACUGCAUGGCUAGAGUGUGUCAGAGGGGGGUAGAAUUCCACGUGUAGCAGUGAAAUGCGUAGAGAUGUGGAGGAAUACCGAUGGCGAAGGCAGCCCCCUGGGAUAACACUGACGCUCAUGCACGAAAGCGUGGGGAGCAAACAGGAUUAGAUACCCUGGUAGUCCACGCCCUAAACGAGGUUCUAUUAGUUGUCGGGAACUUAAAUGUCUUGGUAACGCAGCUAACGCGUGAAGUUAGACCGCCUGGGGAGUACGGUCGCAAGAUUAAAAACUCAAAGGAAUUGACGGGGACCCGCACAAGCGGUGGAUGAUGUGGAUUAAUUCGAUGCAACGCGAAAAACCUUACCUACCCUUGGCAUGUACGGAACCUCUGAGAGAUUAGAGGGUGCUCGAAAGAGAGCCGUAACACAGGUGCUGCAUGGCUGUCGUCAGCUCGUGUCGUGAGAUGUUGGGUUAAGUCCCGCAACGAGCGCAACCCUUGUCAUUAGUUGCUACGAAAGGGCACUCUAAUGAGACUGCCGGUGACAAACCGGAGGAAGGUGGGGAUGACGUCAAGUCCUCAUGGCCCUUAUGGGUAGGGCUUCACACGUCAUACAAUGGUACAUACAGAGGGCCGCCAACCCGCGAGGGGGAGCUAAUCCCAGAAAGUGUAUCGUAGUCCGGAUUGUAGUCUGCAACUCGACUACAUGAAGUUGGAAUCGCUAGUAAUCGCGGAUCAGCAUGUCGCGGUGAAUACGUUCCCGGGUCUUG
rnacentral:rRNA from 1 species